rnacentral:rRNA from 1 species
UACGUAGGGUGCGAGCGUUAAUCGGAAUUACUGGGCGUAAAGCGUGCGCAGGCGGUUUUGUAAGUCUGUCGUGAAAUCCCCGGGCUCAACCUGGGAAUGGCGAUGGAGACUGCAAGGCUAGAGUUUGGCAGAGGGGGGUAGAAUUCCACGUGUAGCAGUGAAAUGCGUAGAUAUGUGGAGGAACACCGAUGGCGAAGGCAGCCCCCUGGGUCAAGAUUGACGCUCAUGCACGAAAGCGUGGGGAGCAAACAGG